UUCCUCAGUGACCAUGGAAACUGUUCUUAGUCAGUGGUACCACUUUGUUGUAUAUCUUUGGCUUGAUUCUUUUUGGUAAAUAGUGAAUAUUAAUGACAGUAAUAACCAGGCAAACAAAAGAAAAACUAGAAUUUAAAGGUGGGAAAGAGGAAUCAUUGUAGGAAUUAUUACUACCAUUCUUAAGACUACUCUCAGUUCAAAAGAACUCUGUGUUGUUACUAGAAUAAUCUGCAGAUACAUCUCUCUAAUCUUAAUUACAUACUUAUUCUUUAUCAUGUGUAACAUCCCUUCCCCUCAAAGUCUACAGUUCCUAAAGGACCCUGAGCAGCUGUUAAAAUGUUGUGUGCAUAGAGACAUUGAAUUAAUACUUGUUGAAUUAAAUGAAAUACAUCUGUUCAUGCCCCUUUGUCAGUCUCCUUAGUAGGAAGGUCUGUUAUAUUUGCAAGUGAGGGACAAACUGGGACAUGUCAUUCUGUAUUGUGAGCACAAUAUUGUCCCUCCAGAAAAACACUUGGUUCUAUGUAGUUCUUUGACAAAUUCAAAGGAUGGUGUGACCAUCUGUUUUCUUUAACUCCUGGGGAAAGAACAAAAGGAUUGUACUUUGGCUGAGAAUGAGGACUAGCUAGAGAAAAGAACACAGGAAACAAAUCCCUCUUUUGGUUUUUAAUUGUUGACUGAGCUGAUCAGGACGUCCCCUGUUUCCUUCCCUGGUCCCUGUAAAAUCCAGUGUCUCCUUUGGCAGCCAAGCUGGACUUGACCAGGUCAGCUCCCUGGCUUGGCCCAGGCCUCCUUAACUCAAGUCUUUCCUCAUCCUCCAUAGUACUUUCAGUUAGUUUGCAUGACAGAAGCAAUGUACUUGGCCUUCAUAGUCUGUGGGUUCCUUAUCUGCAAAUUCAGUCAGCUGCCAAUCAAAAAUAUUUAGAAAGAAAGAAAGAAAG
rnacentral:lncRNA from 1 species